AGGGAUCUCGUGAUGCCGGCAAUGAAAGGCAUGUUCCGGCAUUGCGCAAUCCCAGU
rnacentral:pre_miRNA from 1 species